rnacentral:rRNA from 1 species
GCUACACAUGCAGUCGAGCGGAAACGAUGAUAGCUUGCUAUCAGGCGUCGAGCGGCGGACGGGUGAGUAAUACUUAGGAAUCUGCCUAGUAGUGGGGGAUAGCACGGGGAAACUCGUAUUAAUACCGCAUACGACCUACGGGAGAAAGGGGGCAACUUGUUGCUCUCGCUAUUAGAUGAGCCUAAGUCGGAUUAGCUAGAUGGUGGGGUAAAGGCCUACCAUGGCGACGAUCUGUAGCUGGUCUGAGAGGAUGAUCAGCCACACCGGAACUGAGACACGGUCCGGACUCCUACGGGAGGCAGCAGUGGGGAAUAUUGGACAAUGGGGGCAACCCUGAUCCAGCCAUGCCGCGUGUGUGAAGAAGGCCUUUUGGUUGUAAAGCACUUUAAGCAGUGAAGAAGACCAUAUGGUUAAUACCCAUAUGCGAUGACAUUAGCUGCAGAAUAAGCACCGGCUAACUCUGUGCCAGCAGCCGCGGUAAUACAGAGGGUGCAAGCGUUAAUCGGAAUUACUGGGCGUAAAGCGAGCGUAGGUGGCUUGAUAAGUCAGAUGUGAAAUC